ensembl:ncRNA asRNA:CR46101 antisense RNA:CR46101
ACGCAGACAGCUUAUAACUCACAGGCAAUCCGCUCUCUCAGCUCCCUGGUGGGCGCCGCAUCGAUGGCCGACUUGCUGUGGCAGUUUAGGAGGGUGGGAUCCGCUCCACGACUGAGCAGCAGGCUGCAGACCUCGACGCGACUUUUGGAGGCGGCCUCGUGGAGCGGCGUAAAGGCCCACAGAUCGUUGGCGUUGACAUUGGCGCCCGCCUGGAUAAGCAGCUUGGUCACAUCGAAGUGUCCGUAGGAGCAGGCAUUGUGCAGCGGCACCAGACCGCCCUUGUCCUUAGCAUGUACAUCCGCUCCGUUGGCCAGCAGAAUUUCCACGAUGCCGAUCCGAUUGUAGCCCGCUGCCAGAUGGAGCGGCGUUGAGCGUCGUCCAUCGCUGGCAUGACAGUUGACAUUGAGUGGCGUGAGUAGGGCCAGCAGGCGAUCCUCGGCCCCCGAGCGUGCGGCUUCAAGCAGCUCAUCCUUUCGAUAUUCGCCGGUCAAUACGGGACGCGUCGCCUCGUCCGCCAGCUCCAGUGGUGUCUUCUGCUCCGAGUUGCGGAUCGUAUGGUUUGCGCCAUGCUGCAACAGAGCCAGGCACACAUCCACCUUGCCCUUGCUGGCCGCCUCGUGCAAUGGCGUGUAGUUCCAGUUGUCGGUGGUGUUUGGACUGGCACCUGCCUUCAGCAACAAUCGAACUACCUCGGCGUGGCCAAAGGAGCAACAGUUGUGCAGCGGGUGCAGCCCACCCUCGUCACACGCCUGUAUGGAGGCGCCGCUGUUCAGCAGGAAUUCAACCACUUCCCGGCGUCCAUAACCUGGUAAAAUAAAAACGAAUAGGUUAUUAGAUGAAUGUCAUGUAUUGGUCGAUGGGAAAGCCCUACAAAUGAGCGAG